GACGGAGGGUGCAAGCGUUGUUCGGAUUGACUGGGCGUAAAGGGCGUGUAGGCGGUUGCCCAAGUCCGAUGUGAAAGCCCGAGGCUUAGCCUCGGAAGUGCAUCCGAAACUGCUGAGCUUGAGUACUUAAGAGGAUCGCGGAAUUCCCGGUGUAGAGGUGAAAUUCGUAGAUAUCGGGAGGAACACCAGUGGCGAGGGCGGCGAUCUGGGAAGAUACUGACGCUGAGGUGCGAAAGCGUGGGGAGCAAACAGG
rnacentral:rRNA from 1 species